UGCUGACCUCCCAGCACUGACUUCCCCAACGUUGACUUCUCUAGCACUGGCACUCCUCAAUGCUGACCUCCCCAGUGCUGACCUCCUUAGAGCUGAUCUCCCAGUACUGAUCUCUCCAGUGCUAAGUCCAGCUUCAGUACUGAAUGGUAGAAAGAUAGUAGAAAGAAGACUGGAUUUGGAGUUAGAAGAUCUGGGUUCAAGUCCCAACCCUGACACUUCCUAUCUGUGUGACCUUGGACCCUCUGCGUUUUAAGAAGUGGUCUUCAAGUAUUGCUGUGGGAAAAAAGAGAUCAACCUGCAACCAACCUGGAUUGAUGACCCUCUCUGAAAUUAAUUAGCUUGGUCCUAGGAAAAUAGAGACAGAGAGUUCAUCAUCAAGCAUGUACUCCAAACCUUUCCAGCUUGGUAGAGCUUGGCAAAGCUUGCUAGUCAUAACCAUGAGAACCCAGAGCCUCAGCUAAGCCCUUAGGAAGAGGACUUCAGGAAGACAAGAGUGUAUUGGAAAUCAAACAAUGAUGGGGCCUGUCUAUAUUUCUCAACAGUCUCAGGAAUGAAUUCAUCACUUCCCCAGUCCCAUCUGAACAUUCAUGGAAAUGCCACCCUGCCCAUGCCAGCAGUUCUGAGAAGCAUAGUGAUGAUUGGUGAGGAGCUGGGGGUGUUAUCUCCACCAGCCCUGCUUCUGAACUCUCCUAAGAGUGUCAGUGCCUGCUGACUGUCACCAGUUUGGACAGAUGGACAGUUCUGUUUUUAGCAAGUACAUGUUUUGCCAUUACCUCAUGCCAUUCUCUCUCCAAGAUCCUUCAUCUUUUUCUCUAUUAUCCCACACUCCUCUGUUGGAAAGCUCAGUCUGGAGAUCAAACUCUAUCUUCCAAUGCAGUCCUCAAAAGAUUGAAGGCCAAAGAGGGCCAUUUCCACUAGAGCCCAAAUCAUGUCUCUUCUGUAGGACUUGCUGGUGCUUAAGCUGCAAUUAGGUUUUCCUUCUCUGCCUCAACUCGUCCCUUCCCCCAAUCGUCGUUUAAAAUGUAUCUCUGUGAAAUGAGCAGAACCAGGAAAACAUUGCACGCAGUAACAGCCACAUUGUGUGA